rnacentral:rRNA from 1 species
AGAGUUUGAUCAUGGCUCAGAACGAACGUUGGCGGCGUGGAUUAGGCAUGCAAGUCGAACGAAUCCCACCUUUGUAGCAAUACCGAGGUGGGGGAAGUGGCGAAAAGGGGCAGUAAUGCGUGGAUAACCUACCCCGGGGACGGGGAUAGCUAUUCUAACGAGUAGGUAAUACCUGGCGAUUUGGUCGAGGGGCAUCCCUUGGCCAGGAAAUGAAUUUCGCCUCGGGAGGGGUUCACGUGAUAUUAGCUAGUUGGUAGGGUAACGGCCUACCAAGGCAAAGAUGUCUAGCGGGUGUGAGAGCACGACCCGCGCCACUGACACUGAGACACUGGCCAGACACCUACGGGUGGCUGCAGUCGAGGAUCUUUGGCAAUGAGCGCAAGCUUGACCAAGCGACGCCGCGUGUGCGAUGAAGGCCUUCGGGUUGUAAAGCACUGUCGAGGGGGACGAAGCCGCAAGGUUGACCGAUCCCUGGAGGAAGCACGGGCUAAGUUCGUGCCAGCAGCCGCGGUAAGACGAACCGUGCGAACGUUGUUCGGAAUCACUGGGCUUAAAGGGCGCGUAGGCGGCUUGCCAAGUCGGGGGUGAAAUCCGGCAGCUUAACUGUCGAAGUGCCUUCGAUACUGGCAAGCUCGAGGGAGGUAGGGGUCUGUGGAACUGCUGGUGGAGCGGUGAAAUGCGUUGAUAUCAGCAGGAACGCCGGUGGCGAAAGCGACGGACUGGACCUCUUCUGACGCUGAGGCGCGAAAGCUAGGGGAGCAAACGGGAUUAGAUACCCUAGUAGUCC